CUUAUUUUUAAUCAUUUUCUAAAUUUUAACACGCGCAACUUUUAGAGAGAAGAUCCCAUAAACUGUAACUUAAAGUGUUAUUUAACGUAUUUCAAAACUUUGCGAGUCGUUUGCAUUUGAAUCAACUGUACUGAAGAAUUUGUCAUAAACAAGAAAGGAUAGAAAUCUAGAGUGUGUGUUUUGUGUAUAAGUUUCGAGGAAACCGAUCGAAAAGAAUAUUUCUUGUUAAGAAUUUCGUGCUACCCUAUAGACAAUUUCGACAGAUAGUGCGUUACUGACACAAAUAAACAUACGUAUCUAACUGAUUUGUAUCCGUCGUCCUUCACUAAAUCGACUAACGAGAGUUUCGAGAAAAUGCUAUUAUACGAAUUACUCUUUCAGAGGUUAUCAGACGCGUUCACGUUAUAUCUUUACGCGUUGCUCUAUCAGUUCCUCGAAAACCAUGUUUUGUCAGCAAUUAACGCGAUCACACGUGGCAGUAAACUUCAUUUUCUUUAUUAAGGUGAUUCCCUUCCGAUAAAGGAGAAUUCGAGUUUAUUUUCUCAUCUACUCGCACGUUAAUCCAAUUUUUACAUAAUUUUAUUAACGCAGAAAACAACAAACAUUAUUAUUCUCUUUUUAUCUUACAAAUAGAAGGAGCGAAGCUGACACUUACGAUCGUCCAAAUUGAAUGUAUUCUCCGCUUCUUCAGGUGACAAGGUCGUGGUGGUGAUAUUCUUGGCUACACUGACGUUUUUCACAUCUGUGUUCUCGGGCAAGGUGGCCAUCAUGUUGGCCGUGUAGGCCAGCACGUACAGGGUCUGGUUGAGGAACAUGUUGAAGUAUUUUUCGAGACAACGAUAGCGUUCACUAUAUAUGUAUAUCCGGGAGUUUUGAUAAACCGCGCGGUUUUCACGGUUUCUAUCUCGUUUUUCUUGCCUAUUACGAUGGAUUUGUACUUAUUAAAUAACAAUCAGCGUGGAAGUGAAUGUAGAAUCAAACUCUGGUCUCGAUGAAAAAUAUAUAGAUUUAUGACAGUCUUAACGUCUCUUCCGCGAGAUUAAGAGUGAACAGAUAUGAUUAAAAACACUCCUGUUUAUUCCGUUUCUCUGUAGUCCCUCGCGAGGAAUAUCGAUGCGACACACAUAAACAACCGAGAAUCCCGGAUUCUUGGACUUUGUAUCAGUCGACUGAAGACGAGAGAAAACACAGUUUUUCUCUCCGGACUCUCGUAUAGAGAGAGACUUUGUCGGGACGUCCUUGGUUGUUGACUGUUUCUAAAGAUCUCGUGAGCGCUCUAAAUGUCUCUCUGUCUCAUCGGCGAGACGACUCGUCACUGCCGGCUACUGUAAGUAAGUCGCGCCGAUAUCAGUAAUAAUAAUGAAAAAUCGAUUGACGUAAAGACGGCUCUUGAUAGUACUCGUGUCGGCGGCGGUCCCGACAUUAAAGCGUCCGUCUCUCGGAAUAAACGAAAUUUUAUAUCACGCCACACACCAAUUGACAGCCUUAUCUCGAAUUGUUAUGCAUAUCUCGUCGAUGCUCUCUUCUUAAAAAUCUUGAAGCACGUAUAAUUUAUAUUUAUUUCUGUUAAUAUAUAUGUAUAUAUAUAUUUAUUUAAAUGGCUUUCAAAACUGUAAUAUAAAUUGAAGUAAUUUAAUAUUAAAAUUAUCCUUCCCGUUAUAUAAUUUUCGGAAUCCGGUUCGAUUUAUCGGAUCUUCAAUCCAAUGCCGGUUCUGCCAGUUCGUUCGAACCCACCCAGAUUACGCCGGCAAAUGUCGACAGACACUCGUGGAAGCGAUGACACGGUCACGGUCGAGCGUCGUAGAUGAUCCCGGGUCCACUGAUCGGCACUAAUCACUCAAAUUUUGCUGAUCCAUGUGAACCGUGCGUCCCCACUCCGGGAAGAGCGCUCAGCUGUUCUCUUUCUCGGAGCGCUUUUAUCCGGUUUCAAGACGGGAACAGGAGGUGGUUAUUUCAGUCUAAUGAGUUCUUCCAGAAUUUUCUGUGUGCGCGGUAUAUUCGAAACGUCGUGAAAAUAAAUUUUAUUUUACGUCUUUUUAUUAAUAUUUUCAAAAAAAAAAAAAAAUUUCUAUGUAUUAUAUCUACACAAUUGCAAGAAUAUUGGGAAAUAUAUUUUUGAUACGGUAUAUAUCUAUUAUUAAUACUUUAAAGCAGCUUAUACAAUAUCUGAAGAAUAUUUCCCAAAAGUUUGGAUAAUUUCGUAAAGUUCCUGGAUUUUGAUCUGCUCCGAAACAUCGUCGAACAGUCGGAGCUCUUGUCGGCUUGCUGGCUGGGUCUGUGACUAACAAAGAGUGGCCUGAGAGACCUAUUAAACGAAAUAUCAUUUCCACGGAAUCCCAUAGGAUGUCGUUGAGAGGCUUCAAAAGGACCGCCCUUUUUGUGACAGCCGCCUGUUCGUGGAAGCGCGUCUCUUCCCGGACAAUGCGGGACGAUAAAUCCACCGAUGGUCCAGCGGCUAAUAAAACCGGAUCAAAGCCACUUAAAGUGCUCGUUAAGACGCCCUCGUUUUCCUCUUGGUUCAAGCAGUGCGACGAACGUCUCACAUCGUCAAGGUGCAAAAAAGCUUCCAGAGAAGAAUUUCAGGACCAACAAGCGAGAGAAAGAUUCGGAUCGCACCCAGAUUCGUCAAAGCUAAGGGAGAUUCUCACAAAUGUUUCUCUCAACACCUCAUUGUACAAAGUCCGGCGAGAAACAGGAUACUAAGCGGGUCUCGCACAUCGGGGACAGGGACAACAACAGAAGAGCGGCUUUCCGGUGUGAAAAGGUAUAUCGAAAGGUACACCGAUCGAUAUACGGGUUGGGUCGAGAGCCGGUGACGCGCGCCAUAGAAUUGGCGCGCCGCCCUAUGGGGUGCCGUCGACCCGAUGCAUGGGGCUGUUGCUGUGCGUAAACGAAGCCCCACGUAUUUCUUCCCCCCGGAACAUCCCCCUUCGCGAGAGAGUUUCACCCCCGGUGAAAACCGGCCUCCUGGCCGAUCGUGAAUCCCUAAUACCACGCACCCCCGAGACGUCUCCGUUAUCCAGGACACGUCUCUCGCGUUGCCCGGGAAACGUCUCCCGCGAAAUAUCGCGCGAUCUAAUAGAGACCCUCCUACGGGGACUCCUGGCCGUUUCUGCGGACUUGGUAGCCGAAUCGUACGACUGUUGCAUCGUGAUUACCGCGAAAAGUAUGAAUGACAGCCGCCGCAACCCUCGAGCGCUACAAGAGAGGGAUUUCCCGAUUCUCGCGCGCGACUGCAUCCAGAGAGAGAGAGAGUUUCGAAACUCACGACGCAAAGCGUACAUCGUAUAUUUGCCUCACGCGUUAUAUUUCAAGUGCAAAGUUAUUAGAACCGUAAAAAUCGUACGUAUAUGAUUAUGUGUAAUUUGAAUAUAUGAAAUGUGUAUAUACGAUAAAAGGCGCUAUUAUUAUUAUGUCUGACAGAUCUGUCGAUUUGCAGAGGGAAACGUGUUUCUCGUUUCAUCGGUCGAUUAACCACACGAAUAACAUACAUACAUGUUAUCGCACGCGCGAAAGUAUAAACGGCGAGAUGAUGAAUGGCGAGAAAGGGAGGCCAGAGGGGCUCGAAAUGCAAAGGCGUGUUGUUUUCUCAAGCGCGUGGGCAGCGUAACCACGCUGCUCUUUAAUGAUACGGAACGACAGAUCGCCGCCCCCCUUUGACCUUGGGGGAGCCCUUGAAACGCUCCUGCCAACCCUUGCUACCCUGUUACAUUGCCCUAUCCAAUCCCCAUCCAUUUAUUCAUUCAUGCGCCUCCGUGCAAGGUGUCCUUCGGGCUCGGCCGAGCCGUGUCAAGUGAUUUACGUCGCAACGUAAAGCGACUCAUACACGUGCUCACGUACACGCGGACACAUAGGAGGCGUCCGUUCAGCUAAAUUGCUAAUUAUCCAUCGCAGCUCGGCCGCAACUAACCAACGUUACGUAAAGUUUGUGAAGCAACGACGCCAUAUACUGCCAUUAUAUAAUUAUAGUGUAGUUUAUUUCUCGCUUAUUAUAAGAUGCAUAAUUAUUUUUCUAUUUAUAAUCUUGCCUUAAAAAAGAGAGAGUUUGUAUUAUUUUUUUUCUUCAUUUGCCCGUAUCCUUUAUUUUAACAUUAGAUGGUUGUUUGCACGUUUUCCCUGAUUUUAUUUGUUAGCGUAAUAUUGCUUCAUUGUUAAAAGUCGCGUCUGGUUAAAGGACUACUUGAAAGUUUAUUUAAGCACGUUUAAUUUCGCAAUGCGAUUCAACAAAUAUUUAUUAACGGGACGAUGAUGCGCGUAAACGUAAUAUAUGGACGUAAAUUAUUUUUAUGUUUCCCUCUAUCUUUCUCUCUUUUUGUCGCGUCAAAAAUUUGUUAUUCAAUGAAACCGUGCGUCAAAUGCGAUUCGGUGAAGAUUGUACUUUGCACCGUUGAUCUGCCAUCGUUCGCACUUAUAUAUACGCUUAUUCCGGGCAAUGUACAUCAGAUAACGUAUAUUAUUGCGUUGUCGGGACAUAGGUCGACUCAGCGAGAAUAUUUGUUUUUUUUACGCGCGCGAAAGUAGAUAAAUCUGUAAAUUUCACGCAAAAAGUAAAGAAGAUUAAUAUAAUCAUAAAAUGUAUAAACAUUCUAAUUGCUUCAAAUCGAUACUGUUAUAUCCCGAAUAAAAUACGAUAAGUAAAAUUUCGCUUCGCAAAAGCAAUAAUUUCUCGAGUACAAAUAGUAAAUAAAGCUGUUAAAGUGAGAAUUAUCGAUCAAAAUAUCGCGGAAUUCGACAUGAGCGAAAUGAGUAACACGCGACAAAAAAUCUUCAAAAUUUCGCAAUCGAUCGUGAAUGCACUUUGUACAUUGACAAAGUUCGCGUUUUUUACGUCUUCGUCAAGAUUCAAUCUGACCGCGCAACAAGAUGAAGAGAAUCUACACGGAGAGAAUUUUCUCUGAAAAUUUGCUCUCUGAAAAUCUACAAUAAUUAACAGUAAAUUUUACUAUAUGUACAUAAUAAAAUUAA